AAAAUCUGAACUGUUCUCCAUAAUUUGAAACCACUAGAAUAAAUUGUAAUGUCUAGGACAAACUGGUGAAUAAUUUCAAACUUGAAUAUUUCCUACAAGUCCAUCAUCUCUCAUCUAAUGCACACGUUACACGAACAACAGUUCCCCUGCUUAGUACCCCGCAUAUUUGCCUUCUUUAAAACCUUCUCAUAUUCAGUGUUGAUUUCCCAAAGAAUCGACUCCAUACAGAUUGUUCCUCGUGUAUGCCAUACACUCAUCGUUUCUCGCAGUAUGCAACUCUUUCAACAUCAUCUCCAGUUAUUGUAAGAGCGUCGUCCUUGAUGAAAUAAAACGAAUUGUUUCAAGCAUCAUAAGCUUCCAAGGCCUAUCAGAUGAAUCUCUAGUCUAUAAAAUCUUGUCAAGACAGCCUANNNAAACACAGCCUAUUCUUAGAACCUGCAUUACUAUUUAACCAAUUUAAUUGAGUUCGAAUUAGAGGUUGCAUAUAUUCUUAUUUACACUAUCCAGUUUUGAAAUCUUCAAACACCAACUGUUGAAAUCUACCAUGGUUAUAGAAUACACACAAAGUUCCUAUCUACAAGUUUCAGUUAAAUCUCUAAUUCCUAACAACCAACUUGUACCACGAAAACAAAAGCAAGAACAUCAUGUACGAACAUAAUAAAUGAAAUUAUCUACAUUACAAACCACAAUACAGCUAGUUUCGGCCACAGUACAAAAAUAACGAAAGCUAGAGUAAUGUUCAUACAUCAGUACCAACAUGAUCAAAUAACUACAAUAAAGCCCUUAUGUAUGUACUUAUGUAACAAGGUGUUACAAAACAAGUAAAACAGUUGAGGAACAACCAGCAUUUACACUAAUUUCUGACAAUCAACUGGUAUCAUGCAAAGAAAUGUUGGAAUAUCAUGUAUGAACAUUAAAAAUGAAAUUAACUAGAUUACAGACCACAUGUUCCUCAAUGCAUGACUUGGAACAGCUAGUUACGAUCACAAUCAAUAAACCAAAAACAAUGAAAGAGAGACCAAUAUACAUAUAUCAGUGCCAACGUGAUCAAAUAGCCAUGGUAGAUUAUGAUCGGGAUGAAACGGAAGUCAGCGGCGGAAAAAAAAUUGGUAAUCGGUGGAAUCUGAUCAGGAUUAAUAUCAUAUUCUUACUAACCUAUUACUCUGGUAUAGUCGUCGUCCCGAAAGCUACAGUCAGUCAGUAAGAAUCUCAGGUACCUGACAACCCGAUUUUACUGGAGAAGAAGAACACGAUGAUGGUUUAAAAUCGGGAUUCAAAAGCAGAAAAAAGAAUCAAACCAAUUCGUCGGUGACUUACCUUUCGGUUACUCCUACAGAAAAAGGUGGGGCCGACAGCAAUCGUCAACGAAAUACACUCAGUUUCUCUGGCCGCAGAGAUUUUGCAAAUGACUCGGCUCUUAUUCCUACGAAAGAUUAGAUUGCGGCCGACAGCAGGAAACAAAUGAGAAGAAUGAAUUGCUUUGAUGGCGCCGGCGAUUUGUGCAUGACAAGAGGUUUCAACGAGUAUUUUUUUGUUCAUGUGAGUGAAAAAGGAAGUGGGUGGUUUUGAGGAUAUUC
rnacentral:lncRNA from 1 species